UACGAAGGACCCAAGCGUUAUCCGGAUUUAUUGGGUUUAAAGGGUGCGUAGGCGGGUUAUUAAGUCAGUGGUGAAAGCCUGCAGCUUAACUGCAGAACUGCCAUUGAUACUGAUGAUCUUGAGUAUGAUUGAGGUGGGCGGAAUGUGUCAUGUAGCGGUGAAAUGCUUAGAUAUGACACAGAACACCGAUUGCGAAGGCAGCUCACUAAGCCAAUAACUGACGCUGAUGCACGAAAGCGUGGGGAGCAAACAGG
rnacentral:rRNA from 1 species